rnacentral:misc_RNA from 1 species
GAUGAAGAACGUAGUGAAAUGCGAUAAGUAAUGUGAAUUGCAGAAUUCAGUGAAUCAUCGAAUCUUUGAACGCACAUUGCGCCCGCCAGUAUUCUGGCGGGCAUGCCUGUCCGAGCGUCAUUUCAACCCUCGCGCCCAUCUGGGCUGCGGUGUUGGGGACCGGCCUGCCCCCCGGGGCGCGCCGCCCCCCAAAUUCAGUGGCGGUCUCGCUGCAGCCUCCCUUGCGUAGUAGCACACCUCGCACCGGAGCGCAGCGCGGCCACGCCGUAAAACCCCCGACCCCCAUGAGUUUGACCUCGGAUCAGGUAGGAAUACCCGCUGAACUUAAGCAUAUCAAUAAGCGGAGGA